rnacentral:rRNA from 1 species
GAUGAAUGCUAGCUACAGGCUUAACACAUGCAAGUCGCAGGACUGGCGCACGGGUGAGUAACGCGUAUCCAACCUUCCCAUAACUACGGGAUAACCCGUUGAAAGACGGCCUAAUACCGCAUGGUUAUGGAUGGGGAUGCGUCUGAUUAGCUUGUUGGCGGGGUAACGGCCAACCAAGGCGACGAUCAGUAGGGGUUCUGAGCGGAAGGUCCCACACAAUGGAACUGAGACACGGUCCAAAAUGCUACGGAAGGCAGGGGUGAGGAAUAUUGGUCAAGGGGCGGGGGCCUGAACCAGCCAAGUAGCGUGCAGGAUGACGGCCUAGGGGUGGUAAGCUGCUUUUAUGUGGGGAGAGGUACCACAUGAAUAAGGACCGGCUAAUUCCGUGCCAGCCGCCGCGGUAAUAC